rnacentral:rRNA from 1 species
UACGUAGGGUGCAGGCGUUAAUCGGAAUUACUGGGCGUAAAGCGUGCGCAGGCGGUCUUUUAAGUCAGAUGUGAAAUCCCCGGGCUUAACCUGGGAACUGCGUUUGAAACUGAAAGGCUAGAGUGUGGCAGAGGGGGGUGGAAUUCCACGUGUAGCAGUGAAAUGCGUAGAUAUGCGGAGGAACACCAAUGGCGAAGGCAAUCUCCUGGACCUGCACUGACGCUCAUGCACGAAAGCGUGGGGAGCAAACAGG